rnacentral:rRNA from 1 species
AGUGAACGCUGGCGGCAGGCCUAAUACAUGCGAGUCGAACGGACGGAUAGUAAGCGUUCGCCUUUAACGGUGGCGGGUGACGGGUGGGUAACGCAUACAUAGCCUACCUAUAUUACGUGGGGGAUAUCGUGGGACCGGUUCUGAUACUAGAGAAUAUGUUCAACGGCUUGGUUCAGUAGUUAUACGCGCCUUUCCUGUCACUUAUAGCUGGAUCCGCGCCGCAUUAGCUAGUUGGUAAGGUAACGGCAUACCAAGGCGACGAUGCGUAGCCGACCUGAGAGGAUGAUCGGCCACACUGGAACUGAGACACGGUCCAGACUCCUACGGGAGGCAGCAGUAGGGAAUAUUGGGCAAUGGGCGCAAGCCUGACGGAGCCAUGCCGCGUGAGUGAAGAAGGUCUUCGGGUUGUAAAACCCUGUUAUUAGGGAAGAAAAACUGUGUAAGAAACCCUCGCUGUUCUGACGGUACCUAAUGAGAAAGCACCGGCUAACUACGUG